rnacentral:rRNA from 1 species
GACGAACGCUGGCGGCGUGCUUAACACAUGCAAGUCGAACGGAAAGGCCCUGCUUUUGUGGGGUGCUCGAGUGGCGAACGGGUGAGUAACACGUGAGUAACCUGCCCUUGACUUUGGGAUAACUUCAGGAAACUGGGGCUAAUACCGGAUAGGAGCUCCUGCUGCAUGGUGGGGGUUGGAAAGUUUCGGCGGUUGGGGAUGGACUAGCGGCUUAUCAGCUUGUUGGUGGGGUAGUGGCUUACCAAGGCUUUGACGGGUAGCCGGCCUGAGAGGGUGACCGGCCACAUUGGGACUGAGAUACGGCCCAGACUCCUACGGGAGGCAGCAGUCGGGAAUAUUGCACAAUGGGCGGAAGCCUGAUGCAGCAACGCCGCGUGCGGGAUGACGGCCUUCGGGUUGUAAACCGCUUUCGCCUGUGACGAAGCGUGAGUGACGGUAAUGGGUAAAGAAGCACCGGCUAACUACGUG